CAAUGAAUGAAGCAUGGUAAUGUCCACAUAAAUUGAAUUGGGUCUUUAGGCAUGCUCUCUCUGAUUCCAUUUGGCUUUGAUUUAGGAGUAUAGUUCCACAAUA